GACGAACGCUGGCGGCGUGCUUAACACAUGCAAGUCGAACGGAAAGGCCCUGCUUUUGUGGGGUGCUCGAGUGGCGAACGGGUGAGUAACACGUGAGUAACCUGCCCUUGACUUUGGGAUAACUUCAGGAAACUGGGGCUAAUACCGGAUAGGAGCUCCUGCUGCAUGGUGGGGGUUGGAAAGUUUCGGCGGUUGGGGAUGGACUCGCGGCUUAUCAGCUUGUUGGUGGGGUAGUGGCUUACCAAGGCUUUGACGGGUAGCCGGCCUGAGAGGGUGACCGGCCACAUUGGGACUGAGAUACGGCCCAGACUCCUACGGGAGGCAGCAGUGGGGAAUAUUGCACAAUGGGCGGAAGCCUGAUGCAGCAACUCCGCGUGCGGGAUGACGGCCUUCGGGUUGUAAACCGCUUUCGCCUGUGACGAAGCGUGAGUGACGGUAAUGGGUAAAGAAGCACCGGCUAACUACGU
rnacentral:rRNA from 1 species